GACGAACGCUGGCGGCGUGCUUAACACAUGCAAGUCGAACGGAAAGGCCCUGCUUUUGUGGGGUGCUCGAGUGGCGAACGGGUGAGUGACACGUGAGUAACCUGCCCCUGACUUUGGGAUAACUUCAGGAAACUGGGGCUAAUACCGGAUAGGAGCUCCUGCUGCAUGGUGGGGGUUGGAAAGUUUCGGCGGUUGGGGAUGGACUCGCGGCUUAUCAGCUUGUUGGUGGGGUAGUGGCUUACCAAGGCUUUGACGGGUAGCCGGCCUGAGAGGGUGACCGGCCACAUUGGGACUGAGAUACGGCCCAGACUCCUACGGGAGGCAGCAGUGGGGAAUAUUGCACAAUGGGCGGAAGCCUGAUGCAGCAACGCCGCGUGCGGGAUGACGGCCUUCGGGUUGUAAACCGCUUUCGCCUGUGACGAAGCGUGAGUGACGGUAAUGGGUAAAGAAGCACCGGCUAACUACGUG
rnacentral:rRNA from 1 species